rnacentral:lncRNA from 1 species
CCUGCGGUUGCUGUACUCCUCCUGCGGUUCCUCCUGAAACCACAAGCACCCAUCAUUAUUCCAUAUUAAUCCACGUAUCACACGCAACAACAACAUUGAAAAUAAUAUUCAUUUCUCUUUUAGCAAAUCUUUUCUUUCUCAUCACUUACAUUCCCCAUUAUUAUCCUUUAACUUUUCAGCUCAUUAGUAGUCCAAGUGGACAUCAUAAAUUCAAUUUUUUAUUACAUUUUAUUCUUUUUGAAGAUCAAGACACACUUUAUGAAAGGCAAGAAAACAAAUUCUACCCUUGAUAUGGCUAAAUUUCGCCGUUUUAUCAACUUGGCCGAAUCUGCCAACAAAGGGUGGCAGCUCGACCUCUCCUCAGUGUUUUAUUUAUAUCUGGAGUUCUAGGACUCCAAAUUAGGCGAGGUCAGAUUCGUUGGAAACUUAACACUCCUAGAUACACUUCUAUGAGGGGACCCUCCCUGAAUUUUGUAGUUUUCAGGUCCAAAAUCCCCCCAGGAAACAGGGCAACGAACCUGCCCUGUUUUGCUAAUGGAGAAGGUAUCUCCAAUUCAUUUUAAAUCCCUGCUUCCUCAUCAGUCACAGCCAUGCCUUCCCUUUAUUCAUGGCAUUCCCGUCUCAUUUUAUGUCCUCUUAAGGUCACUGGUACCAAAUGAAUUAAUUAAGCACAUCACAACUUCUCAUUUCCUCUCUGCAGUAUCCAGCAGAGAACGUGGCCAAGGGAACCAAGAGUUCCCGAUGAUUAUUUCUGUCAAAUGGAGGAUGUUACUUCCAAUCCCUCCGGUCAGUUAGUAGAUAAGUGUAAUGAGAACAACAUAUCCAAAAUUUAGCAUGAUCCAACGGUGGAGUCCUGAGAUAUGGCCACCGGAGUAUUAUUGGUUUUACUCCAAAAUCUGCAGCUCUAUCUAUCCGUUUUUCUCUUCUUCUUUUUUCUUUAAGGCACUUAGAUUAUUCUAAUCCAUUUAACCUCACUCAUUUCUGCAUUUUCCCAACAUUUUAUGUUAAAGAACCCUAAUUCCCAAUUCAAGAAAGGCAUAAACUUAUAAUCAAAUUGAAGUUGAUUUCAUAGAAAUUGGAAUUAGAACUCCUUACUUGGAUGGAAAUCUAAACUUUACUUCACAAAUUUUAGAAGAAUCUUAGCCUUCUUCUCCUUGUAUGUUGUCAGCCACUUUUCCCUUCUCUUUUCUUCACCAAUUCUUCACUUUUCUUCUUGUUAAUUCUUCCACCUGAUUGUGCUCCUCCACUUAAUAAUUCCAAGGCUUAUUUGGGUUUACUGAUUUUAGGUGUUUACU